rnacentral:lncRNA from 1 species
GAUUAGUUUUAGGAUUUGCAAACUUGACUUGAACAUUAAUUGGCCAUCUGAAAUGAUGUUAGUUUUCUCUUUUGCGCACUGUUCAGUAACUACAGUUUGUCCUCAACGUCUUGUAAAAUCCAACUCGGUAAAUAUUAAUCUAUAAAUCUAGAUUUUUGUACAAAGUUCUUGGUAAUUGCUUUACUUCAACAGAUGCAGAGUGCCUGGCCUUUAGGGAGUGGCUGGCUUUUGCACAGGUCUUUGGUUUGCUAAAUGUGAUUCCCGUCAAGUUUUUUUGAUGAUAUUCGUUCUGAAUGUUCAUUGUCAGCUAAUACCUUAACUGUUUCCGAUAUUAUUGCCAUAUUGCUCGUUGCAGCAAUCAACAUUAUCCAUAUAAUUACUUGGUUUUCAGGAAAAAAAAAAAAAGGCGAAUGAUAUGAUUAUUCAUUAUGCAAUCUGUAUAUUGUCUAUAGAGAACUCAAAGGGCCAAGGAUGCCCGUAUAUGGUCUCUGAAGUUUAUAUUUAUUGAUACUUGUACUUAUGUUCCGUGACACUGAAUUGAAGUAAUCAAAGUUCGAUUUAUGACUUGAACGGCUCUUUUCUCUUCAUCUAUGCAGCGCCAUCUAGUGAUUCAGUUGCUUCAGAUUUCGUAUAAUAGGAAUCAAUAAAGCAUAAGAGAUGGGCUUCAAUCAAAUUCUCCAAACAGGUUCUUGCUUGUAUUGGUUGUCGAGGGAUGUCAAGUGGAUGGAAUGACAGAUGACACACCUCCAAUUUCUUAAAAGAUGUUGAGCCCAAGGAAACCGGAAGUUAAAAGUGGACAACAUCAUAAAUGUAAGUUUUCGCUCAGCAAUUUUGCUUUUAUUGCAAAGUUUCUUCCUGGUCAACAAUAUAUUACUCAUUGGCACCAGUGACUUCAAGUUCUUCUGCAUAUUGCUUUACUCUUUUUUAGUCUCCAGGUAAAAGUUUUGACUCUACGUAAUAUACAAAGAGCACGCUGAACAAAUUGAUUUUGCCCAGUCCCCUUGUGAGAUGCUGCAAAAUCAAGAGCAAGAUAUUAGACUUCAUUUAUAAAGAUAGCCACUUUGUAGCUUGUGUCUUCCUUGGACUCUGUAUCUUUUUAAGUAGGCUUGGAAGUGUCUCAUUUGUCUUUCAAUCCACUUGAUAUCCUUCGACAACUAAUAUCAACAAGAGCCUGUUUAGACAAUUUGAUUGGAACCACUCUCUAGUGCUUUGUUGAUGACUUUUGUAGCUCCUACUAUGCUCGCAUGUUUAAGGGUGUUGUAUUUAACUUUCUUGUUAUGAUGUUCAAGAUUUUACUGUAACACCUUGAAACUUUUGGACAAUAUUCUCUCGUUCUUGGAGUUAAAUUUGUACUUUCUGGAAGUUCAGUAGAUGGAACAAUGUUGGUUUGAUUUUCAAUUUUAA